CACGAGUUCUCAUACUCAUCCUAUCUUAUCCUGUGUUGUUGACUCGGGUUUGUUGUGGCGUGUUGUGGUCACACGCACGUCACACAGCCCAUUUUCGAUACUUCUACCCAGUGAUAUUAUCUGACUGAUUGUUUGUUUUUAACCUAAAA
rnacentral:misc_RNA from 1 species